rnacentral:tRNA from 1 species
GGGCCUGUAGCUCAGGUGGUUAGAGCGCACGCCUGAUAAGCGUGAGGUCGGAGGUUCAAGUCCUCCCAGGCCCACCA